rnacentral:rRNA from 1 species
UACGUAGGUGGCAAGCGUUAUCCGGAAUUAUUGGGCGUAAAGCGCGCGCAGGUGGUUUCUUAAGUCUGAUGUGAAAGCCCACGGCUCAACCGUGGAGGGUCAUUGGAAACUGGGAGACUUGAGUGCAGAAGAGGAAAGUGGAAUUCCAUGUGUAGCGGUGAAAUGCGUAGAUAUCGGAAGGAACAUCAGUGGCGAAAGCGACUUCCUGGACCAGUACCGACGUUCAGGCACGAAAGCGUGGGGAGCAAACAGG